UGGGAUCUUAGGAAUAAUCACUGUGCUUAAUAAAUUAAUUGAAAUCUAUUUUACUAUUGGAAGAUAAAUUAUAGAUUUUAAUUAAUAUUUUUAAAAAAUCUCGAGAGAGAUUAUUAAAUAAUUUAGGAUUAUUGAUCUUUGUAUUAAUAAUUAAAUUUGGAUUAUUAAUCGAAAUAGCUAGAAUUGAUAAUUAGUCCAAGUGAAAUCAGAUAUACCCUUGUGGUUUAUCAAUCGAAUUUUGAUUCAGCUUUCAUUGAAUUCUUCAGAGUU
rnacentral:lncRNA from 1 species